rnacentral:rRNA from 1 species
AUCGAACGCUGGCGGCAGGCCUAACACAUGCAAGUCGAGCGGAGCGGCGGACGGGUGAGUAAUGCCUAGGAAUCUGACUGGUCGUGGGGGUUAACGUACGGAAACGGGCGCUAAUACCGCAUACUUUCAGAGGAGCCUAGGUCGGAUUAGCUGGUUGGGGGGGUAAAGGCCUUCCAAGGCUACGAUGCGUAACUGGUGUGAGAGGAUGAUCAGUCACACUGGAACGAGGACACGGUCCAGACUCCUACGGGAGGCAGCGGUGGGGAAUGUGGGACAAUGGGCGAAAGGCUGAACCAGCCAUGCCGCGUGUGUGGAGAAGGUCAUCAGGUUGUAAGGCUCUUUAAGUUGGGAGGCGGUACCAACAGAAUAAGCACCGGCUAACUUCGUGCCAGCAGCCGCGGUAAUUC